GCUUCACUGCAGGCUGGCAUUGGGUUCGGGCUUUUCUUGCGCAGUCUAGGUGGGAGGCUUUGAAGGUUUCCUUCCGGGGAAGCUGGAGCCAUCAGUGAGAGACCACUCUGGAAAGGCUAGAAUCCUAAUGGUGAUCCUUGAAUCAGGACACUUGACAUUGUCAGCUAGACAGUUUUUCUGGGCGGAAGGCUCCUAAAAGGUAACGGAGCUGUGCAAAGGUUCCCUCAGUCUGGACGGAAAUCAGACGUGGAGUGUAAAGGCAAAAGGGAGCUUGACUGCAAGACCUACAAGUCGAGCAGGACG
rnacentral:rRNA from 1 species